GAUGAACGCUGGCGGCGUGCCUAAUACAUGCAAGUCGAACGCUUCACUUCGGUGAAGAGUGGCGAACGGGUGAGUAAUACAUAAGUAACCUGGCAUCUACAGGGGGAUAACUGAUGGAAACGUCAGCUAAGACCGCAUAGGUGUAGAGAUCGCAUGAACUCUAUAUGAAAAGUGCUACGGGACUGGUAGAUGAUGGACUUAUGGCGCAUUAGCUUGUUGGUAGGGUAACGGCCUACCAAGGCGACGAUGCGUAGCCGACCUGAGAGGGUGACCGGCCACACUGGGACUGAGACACGGCCCAGACUCCUACGGGAGGCAGCAGUAGGGAAUUUUCGGCAAUGGGGGAAACCCUGACCGAGCAACGCCGCGUGAAGGAAGAAGUAAUUCGUUAUGUAAACUUCUGUCAUAGAGGAAGAACGGUAGAUAUAGGGAAUGAUAUCCAAGUGACGGUACUCUAUAAGAAAGCCACGGCUAACUACGUG
rnacentral:rRNA from 1 species